AGAGUUUGAUCAUGGCUCAGGACGAACGCUGACGGUGUGCUUUAGGCAUGCAAGUCGAACGAGAAAGCCCUUCGGGGUGAGUAAAGUGCGAACGGGUGAGUAACACGUGGGCACCUGCCCCUCGCAGGGGGACAACCGGAGGAAACUCCGGCUAAUACCCCGUAAGCUCUACACGCCGCAUGGCGAGUAGAGGAAAGGUAGCUUCGGCCAUCCGGCGAGGGAUGGGCCCGCGGUGCAUUAGCUAGUUGGUGGGGUAACGGCCCACCAAGGCGACGAUGCGUAGCUGGUCUGAGAGGAUGAUCAGCCACACUGGGACUGAGACACGGCCCAGACUCCUACGGGAGGCAGCAGCCAGGAAUCUUGGGCAAUGGGCGAAAGCCUGACCCAGCAACACCGUGUGGGUGAUGAAGGCCUUCGGGUCGUAAAGCCCUGUUGAUAGGGACGAAGGGCGAAGGGUUAAUAGCCCGGAGCUUGACGGUACCUUUCGAGGAAGCCCCGGCUAACUACGUGCCAGCAGCCGCGGUAAUACGUAGGGGGCGAGCGUUGUCCGGAAUUAUUGGGCGUAAAGAGCGUGUAGGCGGUUCGGUAAGUCUGUCGUGAAAUCCUGGGGCUCAACCCUGGGCGUGCGAUGGAUACUGCCGGGCUAGAGGGUGGUAGAGGCGAGUGGAAUUCCCGGUGUAGCGGUGAAAUGCGCAGAUAUCGGGAGGAACACCAGUAGCGAAGGCGGCUCGCUGGGCCACACCUGACGCUGAGACGCGAAAGCUAGGGGAGCGAACAGGAUUAGAUACCCUAGUAGUCC
rnacentral:rRNA from 1 species